AUUGAACGCUGGCGGCAUGCCUUACACAUGCAAGUCGAACGGCAGCACGGGAGCAAUCCUGGUGGCGAGUGGCGAACGGGUGAGUAAAGUAUCGGAACGUGCCCAGUCGUGGGGGAUAACGUAGCGAAAGUUACGCUAAUACCGCAUACGAUCUAUGGAUGAAGGAGGGGGAUCGCAAGACCUCGCGCGAUUGGAGCGGCCGAUAUCAGAUUAGGUAGUUGGUGGGGUAAAGGCUCACCAAGCCGACGAUCUGUAGCUGGUCUGAGAGGACGACCAGCCACACUGGGACUGAGACACGGCCCAGACUCCUGCGGGAGGCAGCAGUGGGGAAUUUUGGACAAUGGGCGAAAGCCUGAUCCAGCCAUGCCGCGUGCAGGAUGAAGGCCUUCGGGUUGUAAACUGCUUUUGUACGGAACGAAAAGGUUUGGCCUAAUAAGCUGAGCUCAUGACGGUACCGUAAGAAUAAGCACCGGCUAACUACGUGCCAGCCGCCGCGGUAA
rnacentral:rRNA from 1 species